rnacentral:rRNA from 1 species
AAAAGAUUUUCGAAAGAGUAUAUGGAGGAUGCCUUGGCAUGAAAGACCGAUGAAGGACGCAGUAGGCGUGCGAUACGCUUCGGGGAGGAGCCAAACUUCCUUUGAUCCGAAGAUUUCCGAAUGGGGUAACCCCGCUAUCGAAGAGAUAGUGAUCCAACAUCUAUCCUCUCAGCGUGAGACGAGCCCUCCUGAUCCAUUAAAAUUUUAGGGAUCAAGAAAAAGGGUCUUUAUAAAUCGUUUCAUACUGGGGGACAGGUGUUGGAUGGGCACCCGGUGAACUGAAACAUCUAAGUAACCGGAGGAAUAUAAAACAACACUCACUCUACAGUGAGAUAUGGUCUGAUUUCUACUUGCAAAAUAGCUCAAGACAAGCAAUUGUCUUUUGCCUUUUGCGAACGAAGUCAGGACAUAUGUGAUUCCCUGAGUAGCGGCGAGCGAAACGGGAAUAGCCUGAUUAGAGCUUACUAAGUAAAAAAUUAGCCGAACGAGCCUGGAAAGGACGACCAAAGCGGGUAAUAGUCCCGUAGGCGAAAAUUUUUUACUGAUGCAAUAAUCCUUUUCACCAAUUUAUUGGUGAAAUGAAGUACUAUUGGACACGUGAAAUCCAGUAGGAAGAAAACUCAAACACCCUUCGGGGCUAUGAGCGGGAGGAUCGUCUCCCAAGGCUAAAUAUCUUUCAUGACCGAUAGUGAACUAGUAC